GAAACAAUAAACUCUAUUCUCCGUCUCAAAAAUAAGCUCAGUUUUCUUUCAAAAUUCCUCCACCUACCGUGUGGAUACUCUGGAUUUGGACAACAAAGGCUGGAUUUGGACAACAAAGGCAGAUGUGAAAUAGACAAUGGAGCCAAAUGAGAUAGACCUGUGAGUCCUGACCUGGGACAUUACCCCACCUACCAGCUUUACCUACUUGGCUAGGACACACCUUGAAGCACCUGGAAGGUGACUCUUGUUUUGACACCUUUCAGCUGUAUUUCAAGUGGGAGUCUUACAGGUGUUGAAGAUAGAAGAUGAAAGGUGUUUUAUGAAGUAGGCUCCAAAAUCAGAGUCAACUCUGCCAUACUCGUUGGUCAAAGCAAACCACAGGACCAGCCCAGAUUCAAGGAAGAGAGAAACAGACUGUACACUCUGAAGCACAUUGGAUGUCAUCAUGAGUUAAACCUCUCUUUCUCAGGGGAAAUGAUUUUAAAGCACAGAGGUAAUUUGAAUCCGUGAAAUUGAAGUUGAAUUGCAAAUAA